rnacentral:rRNA from 1 species
UGGAGGAAAGCAGGGGAUCGUAAGACCUUGCGCUUUUGGAGUGGCCGAUGCCUGAUUAGCUAGUUGGUGGGGUAAGAGCCUACCAAGGCGACGAUCAGUAGUUGGUCUGAGAGGACGACCAGCCACACUGGGACUGAGACACGGCCCAGACUCCUACGGGAGGCAGCAGUGGGGAAUUUUGGACAAUGGGCGGAAGCCUGAUCCAGCAAUGCCGCGUGAGUGAAGAAGGCCUUCGGGUUGUAAAGCUCUUUCAGUCGAGAAGAAAAGGUUGCGACUAAUAAUCGCAACUUAUGACGGUAUCGACAGAAGAAGCACCGGCUAACUACGUGCCAGCAGCCGCGGUAAUACGUAGGGUACGAGCGUUAAUCGGAAUUACUGGGCGUAAAGGGUGCGCAGGCGGCUCUGUAAGUCAGAUGUGA